rnacentral:rRNA from 1 species
UGCUCGAGUGGCGAACUGGUGAGUAACACGUGAGUAACCUGCCCUUGACUUUGGGAUAACUUCAGGAAACUGGGGCUAAUACCGGAUAGGAGCUCCUGCUGCAUGGUGGGGGUUGGAAAGUUUCGGCGGUUGGGGAUGGACUCGCGGCUUAUCAGCUUGUUGGUGGGGUAGUGGCUUACCAAGGCUUUGACGGGUAGCCGGACUGAGAGGUUGGUCGGCCACAUUGGGACUGAGAUACGGCCCAG